rnacentral:rRNA from 1 species
GCCCAGACUCCUACGGGAGGCAGCAGUGGGGAAUAUUGGACAAUGGGCGAAAGCCUGAUCCAGCCAUGCCGCGUGUGUGAAGAAGGCCUUUUGGUUGUAAAGCACUUUAAGCGAGGAGGAGGCUACUGAGAUUAAUACUCUUGGAUAGUGGACGUUACUCGCAGAAUAAGCACCGGCUAACUCUGUGCCAGCAGCCGCGGUAAUACAGAGGGUGCGAGCGUUAAUCGGAUUUACUGGGCGUAAAGCGUGCGUAG